UUGGACCCAAGGCGCACAAGGCCCAAUCCGGAAUUGAAGGGGAAAAGAAAAAUUAGAGCAACUGCAAAAAUCACGUGUAACACACUUUCCACGUUUUCCACAUGCUCUCAGAUUCAAACAAACUUCUUCUCCCUCCUCUCUCCCUUCACCACACUAGAGCUCACCAACAGAGGCGGUGGAGCAAUCAAUCACUAAAUCAUCUAUGCCAAAACACUCCAAUUCUCAUGCUCUAACAAAAUCCACAAUCAAAAUCUCCUGAAACCUCGUAAAAUUUCCAGAUCGAGAGAAAUCAUUCAAGAACCCUAGGCUAUUGCAACAAAAAUUAAAUGACGAAUAAGAGGAAUCAAAGACCCUGAUGUUAGGGCUUUGACUCCUUGGAUCUCACUCUACAUGAUCGUAAUAAGGAUGAAAGGAAUCAAUAAGAAAAAAAUACCUCUGAAGUGGAGAAUUGCUCCAACAAGUUGUUGAAUCGGAGAAGACGCUUGCAGCGAUAGAAAAUCACUUGAAUAAGGAUGUUGCCAUGGUCAUGAAUGUGUGAUGAAGGAUGUUACCAUGAUGAUGAUGAACCAAGGCUAAAAGUUCUUGGAUAGUGCAAAUUGACUCAUGGCAGGGAAAAGAAAUGCUUGUUGCCGCAGAUGAUUACUGAUGAUGAUGAUCUGAUAUUGCAGGUCCCUAUAUUAAGAUGAAAAUUAUGUAGGUUGUAGCAUGAUGUAUGUAUUUGGUAAGCUCAUGCCAUGGUGAGUCUUGCAAGUGUUGUUAGCUGAUGUACAAUAUGUCUGCUCAUGUAUUGUUGCUAUGUUUGCCAUGAAUGUGCAUGUUAUGCCUUAAUAUGCAUUACUUGGUUUAAUGUUUGGAUGUCUGCCCCAAGUUUAGGUUCACUUGCAUUGCAUGCUUGUAUUGGAUUCAUGGAUGCAUGUAUUGAUUAUAAUGAGUGCAUGGCUGCUGGUUUCUGGCAUUGUACAUGAUGGAAAGGCAAAGCUUGGCAUGAGCAACAAAGCCUGACAAAGUUCAAGGAAAGACAAAUCAAAUGGAUGCAAAAUCAGAUUUCUUGCUCAUGAAGAAACAUAAUGAUGGAAACUCAAGAAAUGAUGCAAGAAUGAGAAUGUAAUUAGUAUUAGGGUUUUAAGGAUGGAAAAAUGUGAUAAUUGACUUUGGUUAACUGGUUGACCAAAAGUCAACUUUUGAUAAAAAAUGAUUUUUUUUUAUAUUUUGUAAUGGACAAUGUACAUGCUAAUGAAUGAAUGAAAACACCUUUAUUUAA